rnacentral:tRNA from 1 species
GGCUUCAUAGCUCCGUUGGUUAGAGCAUCGCACCGGUCGCGCAAGAUCACGGGUUUAAAUCCCGUUGAAGUCC